GCGCAAGUGGUUUAGUGGUAAAAUCCAACGUUGCCAUCGUUGGGCCCCCGGUUCGAUUCCGGGCUUGCAGA
rnacentral:tRNA from 1 species